GGGUGACACAGACAUCCCCCAAUCUAAAGAGGACCUCUGGCUCAGGAAGUACUUCUGAGAUCUGUUUGAAAGUGUCUGCAGGUGACAGCAAUACAGUAUCAGGAAGAGUCUGUGCUUGCUUGUGCUAGUUGACCAAUAAACUUACCAUGACAUCCCAUAAGACCACAGAGAUACAACACCAGGUCUUAAAGAAAGAAAGAAAAACUGGGGGGGGAGAAUAAGGCGAAAAGAUAGAGGCUACUGAAGCAAGUUUCACCAUCCUGGCUGCCAACCCCAGCAUCACCUGGAAUCCUAGACCUUCUUUGUUCUAAUCCUCAGAAAUGUCCUGACCAGACUGGGCCAAAGAGCGGGACCCAAAUAACAUCACCACCUCUACUCACUCCAGCUGAAUCCCAAACACCAUCGGGGAUGAAAUAGGAUCAGACUUUGGCAGCAGCAACAAUAAUAACAGCUCUGGCCCAUCUCAAGAAACUUCUUCUCUUUUCCCCAAAAGAACAGUUUCAGGCUUUAACAACAACAGCAAUAACAACAUCUCCAGCUUAUCUCAACGAACGUCUCUUUUUUUACGUGAAAGGAACAUUACCAUCUUUAAUACCAUCUGAGAGACUGUCAAACAAGGAGGUUUUCCUUUUAAAAGCUCUCUCCAGCUACAGGGAGAGGGAACA